AGCGAACGCUGGCGGCAGGCCUAACACAUGCAAGUCGAACGGACCCUUCGGGGUUAGUGGCGGACGGGUGAGUAACACGUGGGAACGUGCCCUUUGGUUCGGAACAACUCAGGGAAACUUGAGCUAAUACCGAAUGUGCCCUUCGGGGGAAAGAUUUAUCGCCAUUGGAGCGGCCCGCGUCUGAUUAGCUCGUUGGUGGGGUAAUGGCCUACUAAGGCUACGAUCAGUAGCUGGUCUGAGAGGAUGAUCAGCCACAUUGGGACUGAGACACGGCCCAAACUCCUACGGGAGGCAGCAGUGGGGAAUCUUGCGCAAUGGGCGAAAGCCUGACGCAGCCAUGCCGCGUGAAUGAUGAAGGUCUUAGGAUUGUAAAAUUCUUUCACCGGGGACGAUAAUGACGGUACCCGGAGAAGAAGCCCCGGCUAACUCCGUGCCAGCAGCCGCCGUAACAC
rnacentral:rRNA from 1 species